CAUCCCUCUCAAUCACUCUCCUCUCUCCCGAGUCUUUUCUCCUCUUCCCCGAGCAGAUCCAACCCGCUAGGUUUUUGGCCGCCGCCCCACGCAACUUUGGCCGCAGCCAUCUGCCUCGCAUCUUUUCUCACCACAUCACCUCUUUUCCCCUCCGCACCAUGUCCAAGAUGCAGCGGCUCGGUUGGGUGGCAGCGGCGACGCUCGCCGACGCGCGUGCUCGGCGACCACUCGGGCUCGCGCGAGCAGCAAGCUGCGUGUGCGUGCGCCGUGCGCGCAUGACAAGCCAAGCAGCAGCGCCUGCGGCAGGGCAGCAUCGCGUGCAAGCGGGAGCAGCGGCAAGUAGGAGCACUAGCGCGCCCAAGCAGCGCCCAAGCGGCCUAGCAGUGUGCGCGUAAGCAGCAAAUCAGCAGCAGCAGCAGCAGCAGGCAGCGCGCAUGAGCAGCGGCAAGCGCGUGUACGCGCGUGCGAGCAGGCAGCGCACGAGCAGAGGCUGCGGCCCGUCGUGGUCCGGCUGCGCUCCCGCGUCCCCCUCCGGCUGCUCCACCGACACCCUCCUCCGGCUGCGUCCCGGCUCCGCCCUCGAGCUCGCCGUCCGGCCGGCCACCCUCCGGCUCCUUUUCCGCGCCUGCGCCUAGCAGAGCCUCGCCUCGCCACGCCCCUGCCGGCAGAUCGUCCCCACGUCCGUAUCUCCGGCUUCGCCACGUCACCGGCCGCCCUGCCUCCGGCCGACUCCGGCGCCCCGCGCGCCCGCAGGCCGCCCCGCGUCUUGGCCGUCCCGGCCGUCCGGCCGCCCGCACCACGCAGCUCCGGCUGCUACCAAUUUGGAUUGCAAGAACGAUGUUCACUCAUGCGGCCGCCAGAUACUAUGUCGGAUUUCGCAAGGGCCAAACAAGAUCUGGUGCCGUGAGCAGGGUUGCUCGCGCGGAGGCACCUUUUCCUGGCUGCCCUGCCGCUGGAGGUGAUGCGGCAGAGCGCAGGUAGUUGUUAUUUUUCGCUGCUAUAGAAUAGUGCCAAGAUUAAUAGUCGUUGGUUGGCGGCAUAUUUUGGCCAGUUCUGAAGAGAUUGGCCAAGUUUCAUAGGAGCUCGCAUAGAUCAGCUCAUGAUGAUAGUCUACAUGUAAGUGUUAAAUAAGCUUCAUGUUUCUAUAGGGACCUCUGUAUUUUUUUUAUAAAGUCUAGCUGCAGAUGGAUAAGCGGAGAAUGUCGCAGAUGAAUGAUCUUUAGAUUGUAGUUUCAGAGAUAUUUAGGUAGCGUCAACACCACUGUGACAAAUAAGCUGUAGCAGUUUCAUUUUAUAUUUUGGUCAGACGAUUAGAAUGCAUUUAUGUAUUAGAAAUUGUUAAAUACAUGCUACAGUAUGCUUAGUUCACGUAUGAUGCUAGAAUUUGAGGAGUAAAUUUUGCCAGCAGGCCACCAAGUUAGUGCUUACUAACAAAAUAGGAAUUACUUGGAUACUUACUACCAACCAAUGGGAAACGUUUACGUACACUCGGGUUACAAGGGUUCAGUGAGUUUGUAUGAAGACAUUCUUUCAGGGUGUUUUUACAGCAUGUCCGCACUGUCUACUAGGAAACUACUAAAGAUGCUAUUUACAACCGUGGUAUGCCUCUUUUGCUCUAAGCUAGGUGGCUGGAUUAUCUCACUGCAUGCAAGAGCGUCUAUUUCUGUUGGAUCCGUGCUCACAGUUUUCCUUAGCACAUUUUGCAUGUGAAUUGUGAACAUGUGCCUAUAGCCUGUCUGCAUGGUCAUGUAUGGUCAGUGCUCCUAAUCAUCCGUUAUUUCCAUUUUCUCUUCAUUUCCAGUCUACACUACAUAAAAAGGCCUGCCGAUCUUGCUGUCUGCGUAACAUUUGUAAUAUACAUUAUACUUUCUAGGCUGAUAUAUUGGUGAUAAUGAAAUAUACUCAGGAGCAUAGUGAUGACGUAACUGAAGCUGUGAAUGCAUACUUCAAUGAGGGAGACAGGUUGCAGAAUCAAUCAGAACCCUAUGCCUGUCAUGGUGAUAUGAUGGAUCUGGACAAACUAUUUGAUCCUUCAUUUAGCAGGCCUAUGGGCAGCCCUGUUGAUAUUCUGGACGCGAGUUUUGUUGAGAGAGCUGCUGCUGGUUUCUUUGUUAGGGUAGGGGGACCUAAGGUUACAGAUCCCAGGGAGGUGCGGCAGAUUCCUAUCGAAGCUAAAGAGAAGGUUCAUGGGGCUGUAGUAAUUGAUGAAGGUGAUGAUAACUGGUCGUCUCCCAUGCUCCUAAUAUCCAAAGAAAUACUUCAGGCAACAUACUCCGCACCAACUGUUCCUCCAUUGGUUGACGUUAAUGACUAUAAAAAUGACACAGAAGCGGAGAUGCUCCAUGCGAAACAUCAAAAAAGGAUGCGGAAAGAUUGAUAAUUUGGCGUCCAAUGUAGGUAUUCUCAGGAAUCUAAGAGCAGAGAAUAUUUUUUGGUAGCAAAGAACGCAUCUUGCUUUGUGCCAAGGAUUUUGCACUGCCAAUGCUACGUGCGUUGGGAAACAGAACAAGUGCCCUUCCUCUUCUUGACUAUAAUCUGAAGCAUUUCCGGUUGAGAUGUUGAUGUUUAAUCUCAAUCUAUUUUUUGAACAUGUGAAGCUUACACUCAUCUCACUGCUUUGUUUUUAUUUGUAAAGAAAAAAUUGUAUACUUGAGGAAAAAAAGGAAGAUAGUCGUUUUGUGUAGGAACUUUUGUGUUGGUAAUCUUGAGUAGAGAUUGUUGGCUCCUAAACUCCGC